CAGCUCCAGUGUGCCUUCCCUCUGCCCCUCUCAGAAGCACAUCCACCUCCAAGGGGGACCUGCAGCUGAGCAUUGGCCGCCGGUUCUUCAGCACACCGCUUCCAUGGAUCGCUUUUGAAAGGAUUAGUUUAUUUGCCUCCGUCGACUUUUUCCCGAAUUAUUCCUGGAGUCCAUUUAUGGGCAAAUGGCUCGGGCACUUUUUAUUGUUGUUUUUAGUUUGGAACUUUGCUAUGGUGCUGCUAUCGAGCUGCGCUUCACGUCCGACCCACCGUUGCUGAACAUCAACGGCGUCCAUCGGAUGAACAAAUCCGACAACCUGGAGCUCACGUGCAGAGGCCGCCAGUACCUGCGUUGGACCACCCCUCCCACCAGCGCUCGCUUUUCCAUCAGCGACUGUAGCGGGUCGGGCCUCUUUUGCACGGAGCUGCGGAUCACCAACGCCACCGUCAACGAAACGGGACAAUACCGGUGCUCCUACCGCAAUCUCAAAACGGAAGGCAGCAAGACAUCAGCGGCGGUUCACGUUUUUGUUCGUGAUGACAAGGUGCCGUUUGUUCCGUCCGAGAAGGAAUACGAGGUGGUGUUCCUCCGGGAAGGUGAGUGGGUGGUCAUACCGUGCCGAGGAUCUCUGGAGAACCUCAACGUGACACUUCAUACUAAGUAUCCAAACAAAGAGUUCCAUCCAGACGGGAAAGACUCCCUGUGGGACGCCAGAACCGGCUUCACCAUCCCUAGUCAUCUAAUCAGCUACACCGGCGUGGUGUCCUGCCAGACCCGCAUCGGCGACGAGACCUUCAAGUCCCCCCUCUACGUGGUGGCUGUCGUGGGAUACAAGAUUUACGACCUCAUUCUGACCCCCGCGCAAGUCAGGCUGUCCGUCGGUGAGCGUCUGGUGCUCCGCUGUACCGCGCACACUGAACUCAACGUGGGCAUCGAGUUCAACUGGACGCACGCCGGCCAGCCUCUGAUAGCGGGCAAUGGUUCAAGGGCGGCUCACAUGACGCCGUACAAGAAGAAGCUGUGGGACUCUCUGGAGUUAUCCAACACACUGGUGGUGGACAACGUGACGGUGGAACACACCGGCGAAUACACCUGCACGGCCUCCAGUGGAGCCAUGGACAAAAGCGUCACAGCCUUCCUCAAGGUUUACGAAAAGCCGUUCAUUGACAUAAAGGAGCCUUGGACCAAAGUAUGGGAGGUGAAUAUGGGAGGCUUGUCGUCCACCACCAUACCCGUUCGCUACACAGCCUACCCUGAACCGAGCUUUAAAUGGUUAAAAAAUGGCCUCCCACUGAAGGAAGACCACCGGAUCAAGCAGAGAAGCGACGCCCUCAUCUUUCGCGGCGUCACCGAAACCGACAUGGGGAACUACACUAUCGUCCUCAGCAACAAAGUCACCAAAGAUGAGCAAAGGCGAUCUUUCCAGCUUCUGGUUAAUGUUCCUCCUCAUAUCAUUGAGAAGGAAGUGGCGAUGGACACGGACGUUUUUUUGUACGACAGCACCCCAACGCUGCGAUGCACCGCCCGAGGUUUUCCCACACCCACGUACAUCCAGUGGCAGUGGAUGUCCACCGACAACUGCCCCGAGGCUUUUGUGCCGGGACUGUCCAUAUCUGAGGAGCAAAUAGUCUACUGCAAAGCUUGGCGCGACAUCCAUAACGGCACCGCGCACAACCGUGUGGAGCAGAUCUCCACUGAUGUGGAUCAUGGCCAGAAGAAAAUGGUGAGCUCCUUGAAGUUCCACAAAGCCAAAGUCGACGCCCUGUACCGAUGCACGGCCGCCAACAAAGUGGGAAAGGAUUCCCGCGUUAUUUUCUUCCACGUGACACGCGGCCUGGAGCUAAGCAUGUCUCCGUCCGACGAACCUCUGGAGGAGGAGCACGUGUCUCUCCGCUGCAAGGUCGACGGGCUGAUAUACGGCAACCUGGCCUGGUUCCGCGUUUCCAACAGCUCCGGGUGGGAGCGGGCGGCGGCCGCGCAACCGUGCCGCUCGUUGGCGCUGCCGCCAACGCCGUUGCUGCGCCUCGACACGUCCAAUGGCGAGCACGGCGCCAACGUGAGUUUGGAGCUAUUGCUGCCCAGUGCUUCCCGACGGGACGAGGGCCUGUACGCCUGCCAGGUGGAGAGCCUCAAGACCAGGGAGAGGACUUGUCUGCUGCGCCACCUGUCACUCAAAGGUCUGGAGGCGCCGAGGAUCCUCAACAACCUCACCGACCAAAAAGUCAACGUGAGCGCCACUGUCUCGCUCCUGUGCGCCGCCGCCGGCACGCCCGACCCGACGGUGGUGUGGACCAAAAACAACCAGACUGUGGUUGAAGGCUCCGGUGUGAUCCUGAGUCGGCGUGGUCAUCUGCUCACCAUCCAGCGUGUCAAGAAGGACGAUGGCGGCUUGUACAGCUGCUCUGCUUGCAACAGCCGCGGAUGCCACACCUCGCAGGCCGCGUUGACGACGGAAGACGCGGAGGAAAAAACCAACGUGGAGCUGAUCGUUCCCAUCGGCUCAGUGGUCUUCGCCAUGUUUUUAUGGCUACUGCUCGUCUUUGUCUUUCGCAGGAGAAAACGAGCCAACCGUGGCGAUCUCAAGACGGGCUACCUCUCCAUGAUCCUGGACUCGGAGGACGUGCCCAUGGACGAGCAGUGCGAGCGGCUCACUUACGACGCAAACAAGUGGGAAUUCCCUCGGGACAGGCUGAAGCUCGGUGACCCGCUGGGACGAGGCGCUUUCGGUCAGGUUGUGGAAGCCGCCGCCUUCGGGAUCGAGAAAAUCACCACCUGCACCACCGUGGCCGUUAAGAUGCUUAAAGAGGGAGCCACGUCCAGCGAGUUCCGAGCUUUGAUGUCAGAAUUGAAGAUCCUCAUCCACAUCGGACAUCACCUGAAUGUGGUCAACCUUCUGGGAGCCUGCACGAAGCCUGGCGGCCCUCUCAUGGUCAUCGUGGAGUACUGCAAACACGGAAACCUCUCCAGUUACUUGAAGAGCAAACGUGGAGAAUACAGCCCGUAUAAGAGAAAGAGAACAGACAGCCAAAGGUGGACGUCCGCAGAAGUCGACGUGACCGAAGGUGAUCUCGGCCUGGGGAAGAUCGCUCAGCUGGACAUCUGCACCGGGACUGCCGACAGAGCUUCAGGCAGUCACCUGACUCCCCAGGAUGAGAGCACAGACGAUGACCACCUGACCAUGGAGGACCUGAUCUGCUACAGUUUCCAGGUGGCCAAAGGAAUGGAGUUCCUGUCCUCUCGCAAGUGCAUCCACAGAGAUCUGGCCGCCAGGAACAUCCUGCUCUCGGAGAACAACGUGGUAAAGAUCUGCGACUUUGGUCUGGCCAGGGAUGUCUACAAGGACCCGGAUUACGUUCGCAAGGGAGAUGCACGGCUUCCUUUGAAGUGGAUGGCGCCAGAGACCAUCUUCGACCGGGUGUACACCACCCAAAGUGAUGUCUGGUCCUUCGGGGUCCUUCUCUGGGAGAUCUUUUCGCUGGGAGCGUCUCCCUAUCCCGGCGUGUGCAUCGACGAGACUUUCUGCCGACGGCUUAGAGAAGGCACCAGGAUGAGACCACCAGAGUACGCCACCUCAGAGAUAUACCAAACCAUGUUGGACUGCUGGCUGGACCGUCCCACGGACAGGCCUACCUUUGCGGAACUGGUGGAGCAUCUGGGCAAUUUGCUGCAGGCCAGCGCUCAUCAGGACGGCAAGGACUACAUCCCCCUGACGGCAGAAGGCGACGUGGCGGGAGCUCUGUCUUACGCCACGCCUCAGAGCAGAGACAUCCAGGAAGUUCAGCCGCACUAUGACAACGCUCUGGCUCUCGGGCAGGGCGAAAUGUGCAGCCGGAGGCUCAGCGUGAAGACGUUUGAUGACGUGCCUGUGGAGCACAGCAGCGUCAUGGAGGGUCACAUGGACUGUUCACCUGAGGAAGCGAUAGGUUCGAGUCCGCAGCUCUCGAUGACGCCCAACUUGAGCCGGCUCAUGCGCUGCAAAAGCAAAGAAUCGCUGGCGUCCGAGUCCUCCAACCAGACGAGCGGCUACCAGUCGGGCUACCACUCGGACGACGCCGACGCGCCCAUCUACGCCAACGAGGAGUCCAUCGUCAAGCACAGCAUGUUCCUAAAAAAGCAGAAGACUCCACCUGCGCCUCCUGUGCCCAAAUUUGGCGCGGAGAUCCGUUACAGCACGCCGCCCGUCUGACCCCGGAACCCUCUGCUUGUACAUUUUCUUUUUAAAUUGUUGUUGAACAAUGUGUAGAGCUGCAGCGCUGUUGUUGUUGGCGUCAUAAAUCAACCGGAAGAAAAAUGAAGGUUGACUGACGGGUGGCUGUAAACCAUCCGCGGUUAUCAUGUUUACUCAGUGAGUUAACAGUAGGACUCGCUUCCUGUCCGGCCGGAAAUGCCGCUGGAAAUUUUGAGAUUGUGGCGUCAUGUGGCGGAAUGCUUUUGUGUGCCAGAGGAUGUAGUUCUCAUUUCUUCUUUGUGUACAGUCUCUUAUUUGUACCUGUAUUACAGUAUGUAACCUAUGCUAGCUAAAGGAUUCAUGUGUACUCAAACCAAGCAUCCAUGUGUCUUCAUAGAACUAAAUAAAGGUUGAAAGAAUAGCAAAGGCGCUGAUCACAGAGGAGUAGUCUCGCCUUACAGGUUUGCACAAGUGACACCAGACACGGGCCAUCGCCAUCGUCUGUCAUCGGGAUGCCUCACGUCCGUAUCUCCCUUCAACUGAGUGAUGGACUGGCUUUGUUCCGUCACAAACAUCAUGACGGAUGACUGAUGGACUUGCUCUGACUCAAAGAUGAUGUUAGCCUGUCACAGGGAUGGAGACAUCUGGGUGAUGGAUGGAGGCGAGCAGCGAUAUGCCUCAUUGACCUGAAGCUCCGCCUCCUUUUAAAGGCCAAGAAAAAUAUGAACAGUUUGUUUUUAAUCUCUGUAUUACAAAUUUCAUGUUCAGGCCUUGAUGUGAAUUGAAUGAGCAAACGCAAAUAGAGAAAAACAAGAACA